GUUUGUUUCCGCGCCUUCCAAGCCUUGUUAUUUUUUGCUGGCUUCCUGCUUCCCCUCUUCCUGCUUGUGUUUUCUGCCUCUGUUUAUUGACCUCACGAAGGUUGGAUUUCCAUUUUCUGAAGGACCAUUGUGUGGCCCAAGCACCUUCCUGAACCCUGCUUCAUACCUGCUUGGCUCUGCCUUCAUCGCGCUCAUGCCCACGCAUGCAUCUUGAGCCCAUCAUUGAUGCCAGCUCUCAGUACAGCUGAGCAUAUGCUGAGAUCUCGUUAAUGGCAAUUAAACUGGAGCGCGUGGUUAAGUACCUUGCAGAAGGUAGCUGCUUUGCUGUGUCACUUCUUAAAGAGCAUCCCUGCCAAAUUUCAGAAUUUUAAUCUCUUCACUAUUGACUCUGGGUGCUGUCGGCCCGCUUCCUCCUUUUGUUGCAAUCUCUCCAUCUAAAGCAUGAUUUCUCUAACAAUGAGCGCUCUCCUCGCGAUGGGCUGAAGAGGAGCUGAGCUGCUGGCACGCGGGAGCCCACGCCAUGCUUCAGAAUGAGGAAAUGAAACUGCUGUGAACGCAUCCGGGGAAGAGAAGCCCCCAAGUUGCCGUGUCUGUGGGAGCAUCCCAGGCUUCUCUGUGAUGUGGCCACUCCAGCCAUGAGUCAGCAUUCUGAGAAUCCUGCUGCAAGCCAGGAGCCCACAGCCUUCUCCUGCUCAGCACACCCAAGCAGGAUGCAGCACCCAGACAGGCGUCUGACACGUCCAGGAUGGGGACAUCGAUCGCUCCGACCUUUGCAAAGCCCUGUAUGGAAAAUGAACGGCACUGCAGAGCACAGAAAAUGGCCACAGGAAACAAAUGUGGCUCCCAAGCUCACGGUUCCACCAGCAUCCCAGGAGCAGUGCCAGGCCAGGGAUGGGGAGGUGCGUGAAGAGCACUGCCUGUAUGCAGGAGGAAGGCUCAGAGCAGGGUGCUCUGCUCUCAGGUCCUAACACUGCCCUGAGAAGGUGCACAGAUACAAAAAGCACCACCAUGGGGUGAACUUCUGCCCCGAGGGCUUCUCAGCCCAGCCAUACAACAUCAGUUCCUGGCAGAUGGGAAAAUUUCUUUUCCUUCUUUUUCCUUUUUGAUUUUUCCUACCAUGCUUCUUGCUUUCAGCCUUCCCCUUUCAUGUCCUUUUAUGGAUUACCGCACACAGAGCCUAUGCAGCCUAAUAACCCUCCACACACACACACACAUAAUCCAAGCAACCCAUUCCCCCCCACCUAAAAGCUGGGAGGGGAAGCAGCAUUCCUUUCUGCUGGGUGUCUGCAAGCGUGGAGCCCUCCCAGCCCCACGCAGCCCCAGCUGGCUCAGUCAGCUGUAGAAAUGUGCACUCAGAUGCAAGGACGAGCACAGAGCGCCUGGGGCUGCCUGAGGAUGGCUCAUGGGCCAAUGCAGGCUGUGGGGAGCUCUCCUCUCCAGGCUGCUUCUUUGCCCCUUGAGAUGGGGACCAAGGCAGCUGGGUGAUGUCUACGACCGUCCUUGCCAGAGAUGCCCAAAGCAACAACACAUCAAUUCCACUUCUAAUUUUGGGGUUGUUUUUGUGGCACCCUAUCCUCACAAUUUCCACAGGUCUGUUUGACCCCAUCGAGCCCAUCUCAUCCAGAGGCACAGGAAAGAUUUUGCAUGGGGCCACAACAAUUCUGUGCUCAAAAUCAGCUCAGUGAAAUCCAUGGCAUUUCCCUUCCAUUAAAAAAAAGACAACAACCCACAGUUAUCUUCCCCAGAAGAGACAGCGGGUUGAUCUCACUUGAUCUUUUUUGCCAAAGACACACUACGUUUUAUCCUGUUUCUUAUUUACCCCCAUGUACCUUUGUGUCCUCACUGUUACUGUAUCCGUUACGUAUGAUUUUAGGCCAGCACAGGUGCAACAAGGUUGAAUUUUUCUUCCUCCUUAGCAGUGGGACAUUUGUUCUUCAGCCAGGUGCCACUAAUUAGAUUACAGCAGAUUUAUUAUAACUACUUUCCUCUUCACCCAUGCACCUGUGACCCCAUUCUCCCUCUCACUGCUCCUGCGUCCUUGCACGGGCUGCACAGGGAAGCCUCAGACACGCUCAGGGCACCCAGUCCUCCAUAACUAACAUGGAAAUCAGGCUACCGGGUUCUCCUUCUCUGAGGUUUGUUGUGAUUUUCCUGCCUGCUGCCUUGGCUGUGUCUCCAGGCGAGACGCCGGUCCCUCUCUGCAUGGCACAUGCGAGAUUGUCACCGCAUUUCAAAGUCACCAUUGCGAGCCAGACUCUGAUUUGGAUGAGACUUUCUUCCUCGCUCCUGCAGGGAAAUUAAUUUCUCUUAAAUGUGCUGAUGUGCAGAUAAUUUGCCUGUGGACCCAGCAGAUUUGCAGUCAGCAGGCUGCCUCGGUCAGUGCCAGAGAGCAGCAUGUCACGCCAGACCAUGUCUAACAUCUUCUGAGUGAUGGGACUUUGGUCUUGGAAAGGCAUCCAGUGCCAUCAAUCCCUCCCAAGCUCCUCCAGGGAUAGGGUGUGGGAGGACUGGGAGCUGCCAGUAGACCCUGCCAGCCUCCCCUCCACCACCCCAUGUUGCUCUUGGUGUGCACAGCCCCACAGCAAAAAGCUUUUUGCUCUCCAACCUGACACAUCUCCCAUGAGAAACCUGCAAAGCCUGGCUCCUGCAGACCACAAGACGGGCCUGACCGUUGCAGCUUGGGGAGAUGGCUGUGCUGACCCCCAGCAGAAAGGGGUCCCUCUGGAGAUCGUCCACGUGGCUGCAAGUGACAGCUCUGCAGAUAUCCUCGCCCAAGCACACCAACACGGAUGGGUCCUCUGGAAGCAGCAGCUGACUCUCAGCCAGGAAGCCAGCUCAGCAAUGCCCUCAAUGCUACCGUUUUUGGACUCUGCAAAGUGCCUCAUUGUAUCUGUCUCUACAGAUUUCCACUUACCCAGAUGGUUUUUGUCUCUACCAUUCUAACAUCUGGUGGAUGCUGCUUCCAACAUCACUAGAAAUUGACUCUUCCAGGCAUAUUGGGGUUCCCAUGUUCACAAGGAUCUACUUCACCCAAAGAGAAACCCUCAAAGGCGCAGACCCAGCCAAGACCUCCACUUGGAAACAGCAACCUAAGAAAUCCAGAGAGAUAGAGAUGCUCAGCAAGUUAUUAUUCUGUGCAAGCACGAUGCCCUCCCAGGACAACACUACAGGACGGCAUUUGCUUGGAUAAAACAGUUUGCCAACACUUGCUAUUGAGGAAAUUUGUGGUCUGUGCAUUGGGGAAUGACUCAGUGGAGCCAGGAGCUGUCUGAAAGCCCCCACUGAGGAUUUGCUCUGAGUACAGCCUGCGGGGCUGGUGGGUGGGCAAACAAUGUGGCUCAGGAGC
ensembl:lncRNA